GGGCUAUUAGCUCAGUGGUAGAGCGCGCCCCUCGUAGGUGCGAUGAUUUACU
rnacentral:tRNA from 1 species